CAAAAAACAAAUCAUGGGGUUCCGUGUCCAACAUUUAACCGUCCGUCUUAUUUGAAAAAGAUAUAAAAAAAUUAAAAAGAUAGGUCACGCAUAAAGUAUUAAUCAUGUUUUAUCAUCUAACAACAAUGAAAAUACUAAUUAUAAAAAAAUUUCAUAUAAGACAGACAGUCAAACGUUAAACACGAAAACCUAGGGUUUGUCUUUUU
rfam:Oryza sativa Japonica Group DNA, chromosome 7, cultivar: Nipponbare, complete sequence.